CAGGCAAAAAUCCUUCUGUUUUUAUAAUGCUCCAAGCACGUUAUACAUGUCAAUGUUAGUGCCGUGUGCCCUACAUAAAUAAAAACAACUUACCAAUGCUCAGCGGGGUGUUACACAUCUUACAGCUAACCUCCGUAUGCGCUGUCUGGGUAUCAGUGAGUAAGCUGCUAAUUAGGGUUAGCCAGGAGUGCAGAACGGGGCCGAUUGCAGGGCAGGCACCGACCCAGCACGUGGCUGCACACUGCAAGUUGAACAGUACCCGAGCUCAAGGCUGGCUUUUAUUUUCUGCAUUGUUUCCCUCUGCAUAAACAUCAGGAACAUGCUUAGACAGUAGAAUUGAGCCCGGAUGUCUGGAGGGCAUCUGGAGGUGUUCAGGUGUGUGAUUGCUUCCUGUCUGCCCACCGCAGCGCUCUCCUGUCUGCAGUACAAACACAGCGCUGCUGGAGGUGUGGGUGCUGCGGGGCUGGGCAGGAACUUGGGUAGCAGUGAGAGGCUGCAGUGUGCAGUGUUUGGGGAGGGGGAGUUCUGAAGGAUUUUUGAUGGGUAGCUUACGUGUCUGUUAGGUGAGAGCACAGCGGUGGCAGUAGAAAAUAAGGAGCGUGGAGGCAGUGUCAGUGUGAGAUUUCAGCAACAAAUAUGUGGGUUCUUUUAGGUAGACUGACUUAAAACGGUUUUUACUGCAUCGCAUUCAGUACAGAUCACACGAGUGAGCGGUCCUUGGGCUGCCCUUACCCACCUGGAGAAACAGCUGCCCCAGGAAGGGGCUCUGUGCCUACCCUGGCAGCAGUCUCCCCCUCAUUUCCCUAGAUAAAUGUGAGUGUUCUGUGCAGACUCCAGCAGGAUGCUGUCCCACGUGUGAGGCCAGCUUUGGCGGGUUGUAACCCUGUGAGUCUUGCUUGUUAUUUAAGGGUGUGGGGGCUGCUGGCUCUUGGGCAGUGAGUUUGUGUUUGUGUGCAUUGGGAUGGGGGCUGAGAUGUUCCCUGUCACACCAUCAGAACCAGAGCUCUGGUGGCUGAGGGAAAAGCAAUGAAAUCCCAUUCUAGGAUUUCAGAGAGAAGGUCCAAGGGUGCAUAGGUGGCCAAAGCGUUUGGAGAGACACACAUGGGCACGUGUGUGCUUAACAAGAUUUAGUACCAAAAAAAAAGAAAAGAGGUAUUUUUGCUUUGAAAAUCCCCCUGAGGGCCCCGAUGUCUUCAUGGGGAGCUGUUUGCCCUUGGGCACAAGCCCCUCUGACACCUGGUGGGACAGCAAAAGGUAACGGAGAAGGCUUGAAAUUAAAUAAUGCCUGUGGACUUCUUAAGCAUUGCGUUGAGCUGAACAGAGCACUGUGGCUGUCCCCUGAGGAGCGCUGGGACAGCUGUAAGGGCAGCUUCUGUACAGCCUGCUCCCAUAACAUCUAAUUGCUUUCAUAUCUAUCAAACACUAAAAGCCUUUCUUCGGAGUUGUGCGUUUGUUUUUAAAUCAAAUAGAUUUAUUCUUGAUGUCUCGGGCACAUUAUUGCAGUAACCUCAUCCUUGGACCAAAACUUUGGCAGAACACACAUAUCUGUAAUGAGGACUUUGUGUUCUGUGGAGGCUUUAUUACAAAAGAGGAUGAACAAGUAUAUUAGAAAGAAAGGGGAGAAACAGGGAAGACUACUUUUUUUGGCAAAGCUUUGUGCUACAGCUCUCGUUUCUCUGGUUGCAGCUGCCUUCAGGCGCACAUCUCAGUCCCUUGUUAUGUUGUGCUCAACUGUUGAUGCUUCCCAGAUUUGCUCUUUGGUGAAACAGGCACGUGUGCAGGUUCCCCAUAAAAAUGGCCGGUUUGGGUUUUACCAGGAACUCUGGCACUUCUCCAUUAUAAGAAGGGAUUACAUUUUUAGGGAGAAUUAACAAGGCAGGAGUAGUGAAGCACUUGAAAUGUCCAGUUUAAUUCUCUCUCUUCCUGCAAGCAAGCUCACACGAGCAGGUUUUUCAGAAGUCCUGAAAUGAAAGCUUCCUGGAAGAAAUACAUAUCCCUGUGGGACCACACAGCUCUCAGUCCUGCCUCCGUGUGAAGAUGAUGUUCCUGGGUGUCAAGCCACGGCCCUGCUCUGGUGGCAUGUGAGGUGUGAGCCUCCAACUGCCUCUGGCUGUACUGCAGGUGGGAAGCUCUCUUGUGAUUGCUGUGCAGGUCCCUCUGAAGCAUGUUCAUUGUGUGGGGUUCUACAAGGUGUUGGAGAGGGGCUCAGAGACACCCAUGGGUGUCUGCACUCUUCUCUGUCCAUCCAUGUGUUCCAGUGGUGUUCUUCCAUUAAAACGACACUGCAGAACGAAUGCAAAGCUGGCAGAAGUGAAAGGGUUUAUGAGGGAAGCCUGUUUAAAUGUGUUUAUUAACCAGAAGAGCUGCAUUUUCAACACUGCUGAUUGCUGUGCAGACACUACUCCUUGGUUUUGCACACUCAAAUGGUUGCUGUUUAAAAUGACUUGUAAAUUAUUAACGUGUUCUCCCAGCAAUCCACAGAAUGACUGGAAGCACAGCACAUGAGCUUUCUGGCUUUAUUUCUUGCAAGUACUGCUGGGCCUGUCCCCUUCCAUGCCCGUCUGCUUCGCUGAUGAAAGCUGCCCUGGAGCCUGCAGGUUGCACAUAGGUUGUGUGCACAACGUGGACGUUAUUUAAAGAAAUGCCAACAGGUAGGGAAGGUGUUUUGCUUUUGGGAGAACGUGCCAGAUGGACAGCAUGCCAAAGACAGCUCAAGGUAUUGCAGAAAAUAGUAAAUUAAAAUCAAAAUGUCACGGGAGAGAGGUGCAGCCCCAUUGCACGUCACUGUCACUGCUUGGUUUUCUAAACCAGAAGAGCUUGAAGUGAGGCAGGACUUGUCAAAAUGCCCUUAGGGAUUUGGGUGACCUGCUCCCAGCGUGCUGCCAGCCUUUAGGCAGCUUUCAAAACCCCAAACUAAUUUCCUUCACUCAGUUCUUCCUCUCCUGAGCUCCACAAGUGCAGUAAUUGCAAGCGUUUGUUCUGAGCCAUGCAAGUUUGGGCUCCACCGCUUUUAUUUACUGCAAUUAUAUCUGGCAGAUAAUUUCUCAUAAACUCAGGAAAAUAAGAAAACUCCUGCAAACUUCACGAACAGAGAAAUAGGGCAAAUUGAUCAAAUAAGCUGCUUCCUACACGAUCAAAAAUUACUAUCUGCAUAACAUUCUGGAACAGAAAUAGCUCUGAUGAAAGUAUGAAGGCGAGCAGGAACUCGCUAGAGGCAUCUGGGCAGAGUUUUAAGGUCCUGGUCCACUUCUAGCAAGGAGAAUCUGUUUGACCUUGAUGUGAGUUACCUGACGUGGCAGUGGAGCUGCAGGAUGGCAUGUACCUUCUCCUCCCCAUUGGAAGCAUGCUGGCUUGUUAUGGGAUGCAGCCUUGGAAGGACGGAAUCCCAUUUCUGCCCUUCUGGUUGAUGACCAAUCCCAGUCCUUUUACGCCAGCAGAGAGAACUUUCCUUUCUUUCCAUGUAUAAAAUUAAACCAGAGUGUUCAAAAUACAGCAUGUGAGGUUUGUCCCACAUCUCGUUUAAGUGAGCGUGUGGUGGCAGUGAAUCUGAAUUGCAAAUAGCUGAACUCAGGUACUGGGUUUUUCUGAAAUGAGCUUUUAAUAAUUAUUGAGCUUUUUCAUCUCUGCUGUGUAGCUUAAUUUACGUGAAAAAUUUGAGUUUCAUCUGGAAUUCUCGAUCUAGUGGUGUUAACAUCUCUGAGAAAAGUAAACGGUUGCCACGAAUUAGGCCUGGGCUUGGAUGCUGCAGCUGAUUAACACCACAUAAGGACAAUUAGCAGCAUUUUUAGGAGAGGAUGGGAAGAAAUUAUCGUGUGCAGUUGAAGCUAUAAAGAGAAUUUUAGGGCGGUGUGUAAUUAGGCAAAUUAGGAUCGGGCAGUGGCUUUAACAUUCGUACCUUGAUGAAAUGUAUGUAUGAAUUCCUUAAGGAAUAUAUGGGUUCUUUAAUGACUACAGUCUUCUGUAUCAUCUCAAAGGUGUAUUUACAAAACAGUUUGGAUGGCAGAUUCAUACAGUGUUAACAUGACAUCAGGUCUGAGUGGUUUGGCAUCGCCAGGAAAGUUCAUGAGGGCUUCUCUGCCUGAACCCUGAAUUUGUCUCAUUUGGAUUUGGAUAACAGGAGGAGACAGCUUGGGAAAUGGGAGCAUACAUCUCACCGGUCUGAAGAGAGCUCAUAGCAGCUCAGGAUCUUUCUGAUUUUUAUGGUAAUGUCUGCAUUCAAUCCCGAUGCCAUUUCUAAAAACCAUUUGCGUGGCUGUGGUUGAAGGGGCUGCCAUAGGGCUGGGGAUGCACUGUAAAGUAAUACAAACGUAGCUUUCCCAUUUCCCAACCUAAGGCAUCAUUACGUAUGACCUUGUGUCACCUUAUGCUUCAUUACUGAUCAUCAGCUGAGGGCUGAAGAGAGCUUUAUCUGUGGGCUGUGCUGCGGAGAAUGGCAGCAAAUGGAGAAUUGGGAAGGGCUGCUCAUCGGUCGUGGCAAAUGUUCUCCUUUGGAACCUCUGUUGUGCUCCCAGGCUCGUCCCUAAGCCUAGAUGGAGAGUAACGUUACCGAGGCUCAUAUUUUCCUUCUUGUCUGCUAACCAGAGGUGACAGGCUGUGAGCUGGAAGUGCUCCAUCUCCACUCCCUCCUGCAGCACCUGGGCUGUGUCCCAGCCAUGCACCAGCUGUACUUGCACUGUGUGCAGCAGGUUUUGGAGGUUUGCCCUUAUGGGACAUGGGAUGUGGCUGAGCUCUUGGGGUGCGCCGGGACCAUGCUGGAUCCAUGCAGUGCUGUGUCCAUGCAGUGCCAGCAGAACACCGUGGCCUCGUGUGCCGUAUAUCAC
ensembl:lncRNA